rnacentral:rRNA from 1 species
AACGCUGGCGGCGUGCCUAAUACAUGCAAGUCGAACGAGAACCCUUGGAUUCGUCUGGGGGGGAGAGUGGCGAACUGGUGAGUAACGCGUGGGUGACCUGCCCCGAAGACGGGGAUAACCGUUGGAAACGACGGCUAAUACCCGAUAUACUCGGUGAUUCGGUUCAUCGAGUAAAGGCUCCGGUGCUUCGGGAUGGGCCUGCGGCCUAUCAGCUAGUUGGUGGGGUAAUGGCCCACCAAGGCGAAGACGGGUAGGGGGCGUGAGAGCGCGGNCCCCCACACUGGCACUGAGAUACGGGCCAGACUUCUACGGAAGGCAGCAGUCGGGGAUAUUGCACAAUCGGCGAAAGCCGGAUGCAGCGACGCCGCGUGGGCGAUGAAGGCCUUCGGGUUGUAAAGCCCUUUUAUGGGGGAAGAGACAAGGACGGUACCCCAAGAAUAAGCGUCGGCUAACUACGUGCCAGCAGCCGCGGUAAAACGUAGGACGCAAGCGUUAUCCGGAUUUACUGGGCGUAAAGAGCGUUGAGGCGGUUCCGUAAGUUGGGCGUGAAAGCCCCGGGCUUAACCCGGGGAGGUCGUUCAAUACUGCGGGACUUGAGGGCAGCAGAGGGAGGCGGAAUUCCCGGUGUAGCGGUGACAUGCGUAGAUAUCGGGAGGAACACCAGUGGCGACGGCGGCCUCCUGGGCUGUUUCUGACGCUGAAGGCCGAAAGCUAGGGGAGCGAACGGGCAUCUAGAAACCCCAGGUAGUCCUAGCCGUAAACGAUGGAUGCUGGGUG